ACACGACUACAUUAGAUACCCCCGUAGUCCUAGCCGUAAACGAUACUCGCUAGGUGUCGGCCACGGUGCGACCGUUGUCGGUGCCGUAGGGAAGCCGUGAAGCGAGCCACCUGGGAGUACGGCCGCAAGGCUGAAACUUAAAGGAAUUGGCGGGGGAGCACAACAACGGGUGGAGCUUGCGGUUUAAUUGGAUUCAACGCCGGAAAUCUUACCGGGACCGACAGCAACAUGAAGGCCAAGCUGAAGACUUUGCCGGAUUAGCUG
rnacentral:rRNA from 1 species